rnacentral:misc_RNA from 1 species
UCCGGUUUGUCACCGGCAGUCUCAUUAGAGUGCUCAACUGAAUGUAGCAACUAAGGACGGGGGUUGCGCUCGUUGCGGGACUUAACCCAACAUCUCACGACACGAGCUGACGACAGCCAUGCAGCACCUGUCUCCGGUCCGGCCGAACUGAAGGAAUCCAUCUCUGGAAACCGCGACCGGGAUGUCAAGGGCUGGUAAGGUUCUUCGCGUUGCCUCGAAUUAAACCACACGCUCCGCUGCUUGUGCGGGCCCCCGCCUAUUCCUUUGAGUUUUAACCUUGCGGCCGUAGUCCCCAGGCGGUGAACUUAAUGCGUUAGCUGCGGCACUGAUCGGGUCAAUCCGACCAACACCUAGUUCACAACGUUUAGGACGUGGACUAC